UACGGGAGGCAGCAGUGGGGAAUAUUGCACAAUGGGCGCAAGCCUGAUGCAGCCAUGCCGCGUGUAUGAAGAAGGCCUUCGGGUUGUAAAGUACUUUCAGUCGUGAGGAAGGUGUUAAGGUUAAUAACCUUAGCAAUUGACGUUAGCGACAGAAGAAGCACCGGCUAACUCCGUGCCAGCAGCCGCGGUAAUACGGAGGGUGCGAGCGUUAAUCGGAAUUACUGGGCGUAAAGGGCACGCAGGCGGUUAAUUAAGUUGGAUGUGAAAUCCCCGGGCUUAACCUGGGAAUGGCAUUCAAGACUGGUUAGCUAGAGUCUUGUAGAGGGGGUAGAAUUCCAUGUGUAGCGGUGAAAUGCGUAGAGAUGUGGAGGAAUACCGGUGGCGAAGGCGGCCCCCUGGACAAAGGACUGACGCUCAUGUGCGAAAGCGUGGGGA
rnacentral:rRNA from 1 species